UGCGUAGACGGUUAUUUAAGUCGGGUGUGAAAGCCCCGGGCUCAACCUGGGAAUUGCAUUCGAGACUGAAUAGCUAGGGUACGGUAGAGGGAAGCGGAAUUUCCGGUGUAGCGGUGAAAUGCGUAGAUAUCGGAGGGAACAUCAGUGGCGAAAGCGGCUUCCUGGACCAGUACCGACGUUCAGGCACGAAAGCGUGGGGAGGCAAAACA
rnacentral:rRNA from 1 species